rnacentral:tRNA from 1 species
GGGGUGUUAGCUCAGCGGUAGAAGCAAUUGACUGCAGAUCAAUAGGUCUUCGGUUCAAAUCCGGAACGCCCCU